rnacentral:rRNA from 1 species
AUGGCCCACAUAUCAGAUAUUAAACUGAUAAGAACAGAUACUACACUUGAUCUUAGCCAAAAGGCCGAGAAAGGUAUGAGUUGCUACCCACGCCACCCCCUCCUUCUUAUAGCCUCGCCGACCCCCUCAAUCCCUCCCGCUGCGCGAUGUGGGACUAAACGAAACGACCAGCCUCUGCUCCUCGCACGCACCCGCACCGGGUUCGCUGAUAUCCUGAAGCUAACUGUGGGUGGGCUUUUGUUUCUGCAGCCCGAUGGGCUUCGACUUGAACUGCAAGAUGGACGUGGAGCCCAGGCCCAGAUCGGGAGGGGGAGACGAGAAGAAAAGGGAUCGCGUGCUACUCACCUCACCCGCAGCUCGUGCUGUCCAAAAAAAGAGAAGAAAAAACGCAGCUCGCACGCAAGUCGACAUCACACGAGGCGAUUUUUUUUAUGGACGUCAUCACACGAGGCGAGUUGA